GGAAUAAAAAUAAUUUGUUUUUGUAAUUUAACGAUAAAAAUGCCCAAAAUCUGUCGAAAAUAAAUCAAACCGUAAAGUAAAGUCCGAAAACAGAUUUACGGUCCCAAAAGUCCAGAUAUUACGUUAAUACAUUAAUCGUCUAGUUUUAUUAACCAAAAAAUCAAUCCGAGCUCCCGUGCGCCGCUUGAUCCUAAGUUUGUUGAUUACUUGAGAAGUCAGAAAAUUUGAGUGGGGUUAUAAAGUUCAGUGUGUAACUCAGCCCAUACAAACAAAACAAAUAGCAUUAUCACACGGAAGUUUGGAAACGAACAAAAUACACAGCAUGACAUACAAUACAAUGCAACAUAGUUAUCAAAUCAGAUACGGAUGGCAUGUCAUAUCAUGCAAUGUAACACUUAUUAUAGAACAAAUAUAGAUCUUACCUCCAUCCGUUACGCACUAUCUCCGUCCAUCCCUACACACCAAAUAGGGUAAUAAAUACUCAUCUAACCCCACACACCAAUAAAUGAGCUUAUGUCACUAUACAAAAUAGUGUAGUCAAAGCUGCCAAAAAAUAAUGCGGUAGAAUCAGAUAAGUGUGGUCAAGCCAUCAGAACAGAUAUGUGGUUUAAAACCAUUAGAUAAGGCAGAUCAUUAAACUGCCAACACUUCCUCCAUCACAUUAUUAUCCCACCUCAAUGCAAAAGCAACCACUAUCCAAAUAUCUAGAUGCACACAAAUCAUACAUGCUUUACACAUCAGAACAUGCUAACAUGCUUUCAGAAUACAAAAGUAGAAUAUCAAAUUUCGUAUAUACAAGCUAUACAUAUCACAUAAUAGACCCUACGAAGUAGCUAGCAUCGAAACACACUUCAAUCACGACCCUAACUAAAACUUACGGAUAAUGGGCCUACACGCCCGUGUGGCCGACACAGCCUACUUGACCCAAAUCGUGUGGCUCCAAUAGAAUGUUUUUCCGUAUUGCGCUACUCGCUAUUUUUCAGGACAGAAGGUACAAACCUGAUUGUUUCACGAUGCCCACACAACAUCGAGAAUUCUAAAACCUAAAAUGACAUUCAGAACGAGCGAAUAAUCAGUGAUAUGCUAAAUUUCCAAGUCACUAACUCGGUUGCAAGUGCUAAACGUUUGACCUAACAAAAGGAAUCCGCCCUUAAUCGAAAGCAUUAAUCACUUACCCAACAGAGCAGUAGCCCAACAAAUCCUCUAAUUCGCUGGAGGUAAGUUGUGUGCUUCUUGCACCUCACCAAAAUAGAACCAACAAUUAAUCCAUCAAACCCACAUCCGUAAAAUCCGAAUUAAAACUAUCCAACCAGAUUAAAACAACUUUCUUACAAAAACAAACAAAUAGCUUACAGAAACUUAAGACAACCCCACGAAACCUCUGAAACACCACCAACACACUAAGAAAAGGCAACCAACGACAAUACUAGCAAG
rnacentral:lncRNA from 1 species